UGGGUCAUGAGAUGGAUGACAACAAAGCAAAGAAGACUGAAGAGUGGUUAGGAAGAUGGAAGGAGAAUAAAGAUGAAGGAUUCAGAGAAAUUAAGGAGUAUAUUCAGGAGAUGGGAGUGAAAGACUGUCGACUAAGAGUUUACAGUCUGUGAUAAAUGUGAAUUACUGACAAAUUCCUGACAGAUUCACGUCAGAUUAAAUCCUCCCCCAAUGUUCUUAAAAGAAUACAUCCCAUAUCUAUGGUCAAAAGAGAAGACCAUCAAUGGGUCCUUCAAAUAUUUCUAUAUGGAAAGAAAGGGAGAAGUCAGUUUGACAAGAGACCACUUGGAAAAAUGCUAUGCUCUGACCAGUGCCAAUCUGCCUGAAGGCAUCAAAACAAUUAGUCUGUGGGUGUGAAUGAUUUGGAAGUAUUUCUUAUUGGCAUCAAGGACUCAAGGAUCAGAGGAGAGAAAAAGGAAAGACAUAAUGAAGCAAACUCAUAUAUUUCCUUUGUAUUUGUUUCCAUAUUAUUAAAACUGAUGUGAUCACAA
rnacentral:lncRNA from 1 species